GGUAGUGUGAUGGCUCCAGCUUUGUUCUUUUUGCUUAGGACUGCUUUGGCUAUUUGUGCUCUUUUUUGGUUCCAUAUGAAUUUUAGAACAGUUUUUUCUAAUUCUGUAAAAAUGAUAUUGGUAGUUUGAUAGGAAUACCAUUGAAUCUGUAUAUGAGCCAAUUUCUUAUGAUAAAUAAAACCCAGACUAAUACAAGAACCAAAUCUACGUCCAAGGCAAGGCAACGUAGUAAAGCAAGAAAUCAUCAGAACCUGGCUUGGGACUGAAGUGGAAGAAGAAGGGCUGUUCAUUGGCAAGAAUCAAAUCUGAGUCUUAUAUGGGAGGCACAAGCUGAUGAGAGUAGGUUGGGAAGGUGAGAUUUGGUGAGAUAGCCUGAAGCAACUGCACUCAUCAAAGAGCUUUUAUGAAGAAUUGGCUUCUGUGCCUGUGGGAUAGUAGAGACCUUUAAAAGGCAG
rnacentral:lncRNA from 1 species